UACGGAGGGUGCAAGCGUUAUCCGGAUUUACGGGGUUUAAAGGGUGCGUAGGUGGGUCUGUAAGUCAGUGGUGAAAUCUCCGAGCUUAACUCGGAAACUGCCAUUGAUACUAUAGAUCUUGAAUUAUCUGGAGGUAAGCGGAAUAUGUCAUGUAGCGGUGAAAUGCUUAGAUAUGACAUAGAACACCAAUUGCGAAGGCAGCUUACUACGGAUCGAUUGACACUGAGGCACGAAAGCGUGGGGAUCAAACAGG
rnacentral:rRNA from 1 species